AUACGUAGGUGGCGAGCGUUGUCCGGAAUUAUUGGGCGUAAAGCGCGCGCAGGCGGGAAAGUAAGUCUACUCUAAAAGUGCGGGGCUCAACCCCGUGAUGGGGUGGAAACUGCUUUUCUUUGAGUGCCGGAGAGGAAAGCGGAAUUCCCAGUGUAGCGGUGAAAUGCGUAGAUAUUGGGAGGAACACCAGUGGCGAAGGCGACUUUCUGGACUGUGUCUGACACUGAGGCGCGAAAGCCAGGGGAGC
rnacentral:rRNA from 1 species